rnacentral:rRNA from 1 species
AUUGAACGCUGGCGGCAGGCUUAACACAUGCAAGUCGAGCGGGGGAAGGUAGCUUGCUACCGGACCUAGCGGCGGACGGGUGAGUAAUGUUUAGGAAUCUGCCUAUUAGUGGGGGACAACAUCUCGAAAGGGAUGCUAAUACCGCAUACGUCCUAGGGGAGAAAGCAGGGGAUCUUCGGACCUUGCGCUAAUAGAUGAGCCUAAGUCGGAUUAGCUAGUUGGUGGGGUAAAGGCCUACCAAGGCGACGAUCUGUAGCGGGCCUGAGAGGAUGAUCCGCCACACUGGGACUGAGACACGGCCCAGACUCCUACGGGAGGCAGCAGUGGGGAAUAUUGGACAAUGGGGGGAACCCUGAUCCAGCCAUGCCGCGUGUGUGAAGAAGGCCUUAUGGUUGUAAAGCACUUUAAGCGAGGAGGAGGCUACUUUAGUUAAUACCUAGAGAUAGUGGACGUUACUCGCAGAAUAAGCACCGGCUAACUCUGUGCCAGCCGCCGCCGUAACAC